rnacentral:rRNA from 1 species
ACACAUGCAAGUCGAGCGGCAGCACAAGGGAGUUUACUUCCUUGAUGUGGCGAGCGGCGGACGGGUGAGUAAUGCCUAGGGAUCUGCCCAGUCGAGGGGGAUAACAGUUGGAAACGACUGCUAAUACCGCAUACGCCCUACGGGGGAAAGGAGGGGACCUUCGGGCCUUCCGCGAUUGGAUGAACCUAGGUGGGAUUAGCUAGUUGGUGAGGUAAUGGCUCACCAAGGCGACAAUCCCUAGCUGUUCUGAGAGGAUGAUCAGCCACACUGGGACUGAGACACGGCCCACACUCCUACGGGAGGCAGCAGUGGGGAAUAUUGCACAAUGGGGGAAACCCUGAUGCAGCCAUGCCGCGUGUGUGAAGAAGGCCUUCGGGUUGUAAAGCACUUUCAGUAGGGAGGAAAGGGUGUAGCUUUAAUACACUGUUGCUGUGACGUUACCUACAGAAGAAGGACCGGCUAACUCCGUGCCAGCAGCCGCGGUAAUACGGAGGGUCCGAGCGUUAAUCGGAAUUACUGGGCGUAAAGCGUGCGCAGGCGGUUUGUUAAGCGAGAUGUGAAAGCCCCGGGCUCAACCUGGGAAUUGCAUUUCUAACUGGCGAACUAUAGUCUUGUAGAGGGGGGUAGAAUUCCAGGUGUAGCGGUGAAAUGCGUAUAGAUCUGGAGGAAUACCGGUGGCGAAGGCGGCCCCCUGGACAAAGACUGACGCUCAGGCACGAAAGCGUGGGGAGCAAACAGGAUUAUAUACCCUGGUAGUCCACGCCGUAAACGAUGUCUACUCGGAGUUUGGUGUCUUGAACACUGGGCU